rnacentral:sRNA from 1 species
UAUUCUGCCCUACAGGGAAGGAUGAGAAGCUUCGACUAAGGUUCGACUCGAGCGAAGCGAGAGAACGUUGCCGCAGGCAACGGCCCGAAGGGCGAGGCGCUUUAGCGCCGAGUAAUCCUU